ensembl:lncRNA
CUGUGGUCUCUGUGGUGUGUCUGGUCUGGCUGUGGUCUCUGUGGUGUGUCUGGUCUGGCUGUGGUCUCUGUGGUGUGUCUGGUCUGACUGUGGUCUCUCCCAUGUCUCUGUUGUGUGUCUGGUCUGGCUGCGGUCUCUGUGGUGUGUCUGGUCUGACUGUGGUCUCUGUGGUGUGUCUGGUCUGACUGUGGUCUCUCCCAUGUCUCUGUGGUGUGUCUGGUCUGACUGUGGUCUCUGUGGUGUGUCUGGUCUGGCUGCGGUCUCUGUGGUGUGUCUGGUCUGACUGUGGUCUCUCCCAUGUCUCUGUGGUGUGUCUGGUCUGACUGUGGUCUCUGUGGUGUGUCUGGUCUGGCUGUGGUCUCUGUGGUGUGUCUGGUCUGGCUGUGGUCUCUGUGGUGUGUCUGGUCUGGCUGUGGUCUCUCCCAUGUCUCUGUGGUGUGUCUGGUCUGACUGUGGUCUCUGUGGUGUGUCUGGUCUGACUGUGGUCUCUGUUGUGUGUCUGGUCUGACUGUGGUCUCUGUGGUGUGUCUGGUAUGACUGUGGUCUCUGUGAUGUCUCUGUGGUGUGUCUGGUCUGACUGUGGUCUCUCCCAUGUCUCUGUGGUGUGUCUGGUCUGACUGUGGUCUCUCCCAUGUCUCUGUGGUGUGUCUGGUCUAGCUGUGGUCUCUCCCAUGUCUCUGUGGUGUGUCUGGUCUGACUGUGGUCUCUGUGGUGUGUCUGGUCUGGCUGCGGUCUCUGUGGUGUGUCUGGUCUGGCUGUGGUCUCUGUUGUGUGUCUGGUCUGGCUGUGGUCUCUGUGGUGUGUCUGGUCUGGCUGUGGUCUCUCCCAUGUCUCUGUGGUGUGUCUGGUCUGACUGUGGUCUCUGUGGUGUGUCUGGUAUGACUGUGGUCUCUGUGAUGUCUCUGUGGUGUGUCUGGUCUGACUGUGGUCUCUCCCAUGUCUCUGUGGUGUGUCUGGUCUGACUGUGGUCUCUCCCAUGUCUCUGUGGUGUGUCUGGUCUGACUGUGGUCUCUGUGGUGUGUCUGGUCUGACUGUGGUCUCUGUGGUGUGUCUGGUCUGGCUGUGGUCUCUGUGGUGUGUCUGGUCUGGCUGUGGUCUCUGUGGUGUGUCUGGUCUGGCUGUGGUCUCUGUGGUGUGUCUGGUCUGACUGUGGUCUCUGUGGUGUGUCUGGUCUGACUGUGGUCUCUGUGGUGUGUCUGGUCUGACUGUGGUCUCUGUGGUGUGUCUGGUCUGGCUGUGGUCUCUCCCAUGUCUCUGUGGUGUGUCUGGUCUGACUGUGGUCUCUGUGGUGUGUCUGGUCUGGCUGUGGUCUCUGUGGUGUGUCUGGUCUGACUGUGGUCUCUGUGGUGUGUCUGGUCUGACUGUGGUCUCUGUGGUGUGUCUGGUCUGACUGUGGUCUCUGUGGUGUGUCUGGUCUGGCUGUGGUCUCUGUGGUGUGUCUGGUCUGGCUGUGGUCUCUGUGGUGUGUCUGGUCUGGCUGUGGUCUCUGUGGUGUGUCUGGUCUGGCUGUGGUCUCUGUGGUGUGUCUGGUCUGGCUGUGGUCUCUGUGGUGUGUCUGGUCUGACUGUGGUCUCUGUGGUGUGUCUGG